rnacentral:rRNA from 1 species
GCUUAGAGUUUGAUCCUGGCUCAGAACGAACGCUGGCGGCAGGCCUCAUACAUGCAAGUCGAGCGGGAAGAUUUACUUCGGUAGAUUGGAGAGCGGCGCACGGGUGAGUAACGCGUGGGAACAUACCUUAAGGUGGGGGAUAACCAUUGGAAACGAUGGCUAAUACCGCAUACGCCCUACGGGGGAAAGAUUUAUUGCCUUAAGAUUGGCCCGCGUUAAAUUAGGUAGUUGGUAGGGUAAAGGCUUACCAAGCCUACGAUUUAUAGCUGGUCUGAGAGGAUGAUCAGCCACACCGGAACUGAGACACGGUCCGGACUCCUACGGGAGGCAGCAGUAGGGAAUAUUGCACAAUGGGGGAAACCCUGAUGCAGCCAUGCCGCGUGAGUGAAGAAGGCCUUCGGGUUGUAAAGCUCUUUCACUUGUGAGGAUGAUGACAGUAGCAAGAGAAGAAGCCCCGGCUAACUUCGUGCCAGCAGCCGCGGUAAUACGAAGGGGGCAAGCGUUGUUCGGAAUUACUGGGCGUAAAGGGCGUGUAGGCGGACGAUAUAGUCAGAGGUGAAAUCCCAGGGCUCAACCUUGGAAUGGCCUUUGAUACUGAUUGUCUAGAGGACGUGAGAGGAUGAUGGAAUACCCAGUGUAGAGGUGAAAUUCGUAGAUAUUGGGUGGAACACCGGUGGCGAAGGCGAUCAUCUGGCGCGAACCUGACGCUGAGACGCGAAAGCGUGGGGAGCAAACAGGAUUAGAUACCCUGGUAGUCCACGCCGUAACGAUGUGUGCUGGCCGUUGGUCUUACGAGAUCAGUGGCGAAGCUAACGUGAUAAGCACACCGCCUGGGGAGUACGGUCGCAAGAUUAAACUCAAAGGAAUUGACGGGGACCCGCACAAGCGGUGGAGCAUGUGGUUUAAUUCG